AAAUAUUUUUGAAUAAAUGUACUUAAACUUCGAAAGAAUUGAAUGAUGAAAUCCAUAGUUUAAAACUAGAAACCUAUGAAACGAAAUCCUAGUUUUUAUCAGUGGUAUACUUGUAGCAAGGGCUUAAAAGGCUCUUCGGAAAGUUUCCUAUAGAAGUUUCUCUUUACAUCCUAAGCCUUUUCCUACAAUCACAUAAGUACAAUACUGUCCUAUCCCCCCUUUCCGUUGUUAUGUGUACUUUCUCUUUGUCACUUAAUCACCUAACUUAACUAACAUUUUUAAACAAUAAAUGAUACAAGAAUUAAUAUGAUUAUAAUCCACUACUGGCUCCAGUUCCAUGAUUUGAAACAUAUUUUGCUGUCCACACUUUAGUAAAACUCGAUGAUAAGGAACUAUUUUUCAAAAAGUAGGAAGGGUAUUGAGUCUUUGGCUAUACGUACUUGAGUGACUUUUCCCCUCCAGAACUUUCUACAUAACUAACAUUCCGGCAGAAAAAAGUUAGUAAUUUUAAUUAUGAAUACAGAGGGCUUAGGACGUUAUGUCAAAACGUUUUGGCUCCUCAUCACGUCACCACAAUCCAUGUCGCCACGUCUGGUCAUGCACUGUCUGACGACCAUGAAUCUUGACAAUAGCCCUGCAGCGUAGUAUCAGUUGCAAAAGACUUCAUCGUGAGACUGUCAUGUCCAAAGCACACAACUCCCUGUUUUCUGGCUUUCCAUACUCUUUCUUGUUUACGAGGACGACGGUUUCCGAGCGCCUGUUUCAACAGUCCGCUCGCUCAGAAACCCAUUCGUAUUGCGUUUGUCGAUUUCACCUGUAUGUCUCCAGCUGCUUGAUGUAUGUGGAAACUGGAAUGAUAUAUCAUAGAAGAACUCGUGUAUACUUGACAUGUGUCACUUUUACAAACUGAGAUCCAUCUUGAUGACGUGGUUGGCUUUUGCCACUGGCCUUUGCGUUUGUUGAUACUCACCUGUCACAAGUUGCUGCAUGUUGCUUAUCACAGCUGGGGUAAGACUUGUUACAGGUUUUUUAUAUAAGGUCCUGUACCCCAAGUUGAUCCAUAUUCUUUUAUUUUCAGAUUCCAUUAAGUACAUACACGGAAUAUUCCCGUUGUGAAAAUUCUAUGUCCAGAGCUUGAGACAUCUUCAUGGUGUGAGUGUAUGGAUAUUGAUAUUUUGCAUCAGAAAGCGCUAUUACAUAGCCUUUCCAGAAGCGAUCAAUUUUUGGUGGCAUCACGCUACCUACCAACGCAACGUCAAACAAAGUCAGAAUGUGGUUCUGAUACAUAUCGUUCGUUCCAUCGUGACUUUAUAUUAGCUGUAGUUGUCAUGUGAUUUGCUCAUUCAUUUGCAUAUUCGAAAUCGUUUUAAUAUAAUGAGUUUAACUCUGUAAUACUACUACGUUUUAAAGGCAACACAUAUGAAUAAUGGCAGAAUUUCAACCCUUGUCCCCAAAUACUUUCAUGAUUUCACUCUAGUGAUGAGCUUAAAUAUAUUUCACCCAAAUGUUUAAAGUUUUUUCAAGAAAUUCGACAUGUAUGUGUUAGUGUAUGAACCAUGAAUAAUUGUCAUUCGUGUUGAAUAUUUCAAGUUCAAGUAAAAUGUAUUGUAAAUAAUAAAUAUGGGUGCACAUAGAGUAACCAUAGAUUUAAAUCGUACUAGCUGUGCUUAUUUAAAGCGAUAGAGAUAUAACGUUACAAGUAGUAUUUAUCUCUCUAGCUACCUAUAGAAAUUGAAUAUUUGUAAAGACUUUGAUCAUAAUCAUUCAUUUCUCAACUUUCGAAAAGUAUUGUGGCACAACGGUAUGUUUACGGACUUACAACGCUAGGAACCGGAUUUCGAUACCCGUGGUAGGCAGAGCUCAGAUAUCCCAUUGUGUAUCUUUGUGCUUAAUUAUAACCAGCCAAACAACAACCAACCAAAAAGUAUUAAAGCUUAUCGAGAGAAAGCAAUCACUUCUCAGACCAGCGUCCUCAUAAAACCAUAACUCCACCCUCACAGACCCAUGAAGAGCUUGAUCUGAUCAGAUGACACUUCCGUAACCCCAUCCCUAGAGCGUGUAGAUAAUUUCUAGACGUUGUUGUUAUGGUUUACUGUGUGCGUGCAGCUGUCUAACCAAGCACCCGUGAUGCAGGUGUGUGUGUGCAUAAAAAAAAUUUAACAUCGUGUGUUGAUUUUUGAUAUAUAAACGUGACGUAAUCUCGGAUCAGGUCAGCGCUUGACCAUUUACUUCGUUAUAUAGUAUUAUAUGAUAACGUGCUAUUUCAGUUAACAGUCACAGAAAUCGAACACGUGUAAUAAGGAAAAUACCAGGGAUGUUAUAAGAAUAUCCACCUACGGCUUCUUCAGAAAUAUUGGUACCAAGGCGCUGGAAAAAUAAAACUGAUAGUAUUUAACUUUUGCGCGUUGAACAGAGACUUGUAUGGUUUGUGUUAAGCGUAGAGUUGUUGAGGUUAAAUGGAAAUGUACUGAAAGCGGAUGACGGGGUGGUGCUCACGUGAUGUUUACGUGAACAAUUUCCUUCUCGAUCGUAAGGCUAGAUGGACUUGCUUGUCCAUUUCCUUACUUGAAACCUGCUAAGUCAACUAUCGCUAUUUAGGUUUUUGCAGAGAAAGGUUUCAAGGACGAAUCUUCAAAUCGAUUUUACUUCUCUUCUCCUUAUUGGCGAGAAAAUCUUGUGCGCGAUAGGACAACGCUCGAGCUAAAGUUGUGAGACACAGUAUUCAAGAGCGCGAGCCUGGAGACUAUCGUAUUGUUGCCGCAACAGUGGGGGUACAGAAGCUACAGUAGGAAUUUCACUCCACAGCAAGAACCCUUCAACCCUCGAUUCUUUAAAAUCUCGUGGUUAAAGUAAAGAAAAGUCUGAAUUAUAAGAUGUAGCAAAUUUUGUACUAAAAGUCAGGAAAAUUUCGAUCGUCAUCACUGAAGAAGAUAUAGACAACUGCAAUACGAUGCCAGACUCUGUGGACAACACUGAAAAACAGGCGACAUCUGGCGUUAGCGUACAGGUGAUGAACGAGAAACUGCACUCUGCACAAGGUAAAAGAAAACGUUCGCUAUCAAACGCCGAAUAAAAAGAACACUGGAGUGUUUAAACUCACAAAAUACUCUUUAAAAGUUUAAAUUAGUAGAACCACAAUAUCAGUAGAACAAAAACGUGUUACUGUACUUAUUAAAGUACUCAUUCUCAGUAUGGUACAGAAUCGAGAUAA
rnacentral:lncRNA from 1 species